ncrna:unclassified sequences L4-Archaeoglobi ribosomal protein leader
CUGACGGGCGCGUCCGGGUCAAUUGCGGACUGCAACACCCGAUCUCCCUGCCGGUACCGCCGACGAUGGCGGUGUCGGAAGGGGAACGCGUCACCAUCAG